GAUAAAGGCCAAGGAACAAGUUGCUCACAGGUACUGCCAUCACAUUUGUGACAUGGGUUUGGAGGCUACUGUGUUCUGAGCUCUGGAGAUAAAAUGCAGGUCUUUAUGCUUACAUGAAAAACACUUCACUGACUGACUUGCUUCUCUGACCCGAGGCAUUUGGUCUCUGUACCCUCUGGAAAGCCUGCUGCAGAAUAGAAGAACAAGUGUCCAGAUGUCCUGUUUCUUCAGGUGUAAGAUAGCCGGGUGCCUGGGACGACAAGCAGCCUGCUCCUCCUGUUACAAAAGACUGAUUUAAAAUAGCUCAGAGAUUGAUCCCGAAUUUCCUGAGAAACCGAAACACUGCUUUCCAGAGUGGUUGCACAAGUUUGCAUUCCCACCAG